CAGCUCAGCUGAUCUUGGCUGAACUUCCUUAUAUCUCUGUGAUGCUCUAGGGGCUCUGCAAGUCUCGACUGGAGCAUCGUACCCGGAGCAACUCCGAUCUAUAUGUCUCUCAUUCUCAUCCUCAUCCUUAUCCUGAGAAUGCCCUUCUCAUGGAAAUGUCGGAAGAGGAAGAACAAGGAGGCCAGUCACAGAAGCACACCCCAAUUCUCUGCUCCCAUCACAUCUACUAACACACUACUGGCCACAGCAGACUACACACCCAAGCUAAGUAUACAUGGAAUAUUAUUCAGCCAUAAAAAAGAAAAAAUCCCACCUUUUGCACAACACGGUUGGACCUUGAGGGCAUUAUGCUAAGUGAAAUAAGUCAGAGGAAGACAAAACUAGAUCUCAAAAAGGACCAGUGAUGACCUGAAUUCUAGCAAUAUGGUAGACUAAACAUCUAGAGAUACCCUCUCAGCUUAGAACACCUGUGGACUGAACACCAGUGAAAACAGCAUAAGUCAAAUUUGGAAAAUGCUAGGAAAGCAGGAUUUGUGGGAAAUUUAAAUUAACACUUAAAAUUAAAAAGAAAAGAAAAAUUGAAAACUAAUGUUAAAUGUCUAACUUAAGAAGUUAGAGAAAGAAUAUAGACACACAAUAGAAGAAGGAAAAAAGAGCUGAAACCAAUGAAAUAGGAAGCAAACAUACAAUAGAAGGGAUCAACAAACCAAAAAGUUAGUUACUCGUAAAGUCCAAUAAAAUUGGCAAACCGUUUUCAAAACUGAUUAUAGAGAAAGACAGGGACAGAAAGUGAAGGCCCCAAAACACAAUAUUAGGAAUAAAAGAGAAACAGGACCACAGAUGCGUCAAAGAUUAAAUAGAUAUUAUGACAACUUUAUACCAAUAAAUUGGCCUAAUUAUUAGAAAUUGUACUAGAAAAAGAGAAAUUAUUUUUUUAAAAGUCAAUUUAAAAAGAUCUUCUUGUAUUCAGCCAGCGCACAUUGCUGUAAUACAAUACAGGUCAUACAGGUUGGUAAAUAUUGAAACAUCUACACACUUACUUUUAAAAGUCUCUACCUUGAUUCCCAAGUACCACCUGGACCACAUUUGUCCCUCUCUCAGGACCCCAUAAACCUCUCUAUAAUCCAUCAACUGAAGGUUAUUUCUGGAUACAGUAGAGCUCCAGAUCCUAUUUCAGGUCUAUUAGUUGACAUUUAUCUUGACUAGUUCAGUGCUUAAUCCAAAUCACUAGUAAAAC
rnacentral:lncRNA from 1 species